GAUGAACGCUGACAGAAUGCUUAACACAUGCAAGUCGAUUCGAUUUACCUUCGGGUAUUGAGGAUGGCGGACGGGUGAGUAACGCGUAAGGAACUUGCCUCUUGGUCUGGGACAACUGUUGGAAACGACAGCUAAUACCGGAUAUUAUGAGAUUCUCGCAUGGGAAACUUAUGAAAGCUAUAUGCGCCAAGAGAGAGCCUUGCGUUCCAUUAGCUAGUUGGUGGGGUAACGGCCCACCAAGGCGACGAUGGAUAGCCGGCCUGAGAGGGUGAACGGCCACAAGGGGACUGAGACACGGCCCUUACUCCUACGGGAGGCAGCAGUGGGGAAUAUUGGACAAUGGGCCACAAGCCUGAUCCAGCAAUUCUGUGUGCACGAUGAAGGUCUUCGGAUUGUAAAGUGCUUUCAGUUGGGAAGAAGAAAGUGACGGUACCAACAGAAGAAGCGACGGCUAAAUACGUGCCAGCAGCCGCGGUAAUACGUAUGUCGCAAGCGUUAUCCGGAUUUAUUGGGCGUAAAGCGCGUCUAGGCGGAAAAAUAAGUCUGAUGUUAAAAUGCGGGGCUCAACUCCGUAUUGCGUUGGAAACUGUUUUUCUAGAGUACUGGAGAGGUGGGCGGAACUACAAGUGUAGAGGUGAAAUUCGUAGAUAUUUGUAGGAAUGCCGAUGGAGAANUCAGCUCACUGGACAGAUACUGACGCUAAAGCGCGAAAGCGUGGGGAGCAA
rnacentral:rRNA from 1 species